rnacentral:rRNA from 1 species
UAGUCCACGCCGUAAACGAUGUCGACUUGGAGGUUGUUCCCUUGAGGAGUGGCUUCCGGAGCUAACGCGUUAAGUCGACCGCCUGGGGAGUACGGCCGCAAGGUUAAAACUCAAAUGAAUUGACGGGGGCCCGCACAAGCGGUGGAGCAUGUGGUUUAAUUCGAUGCAACGCGAAGAACCUUACCUACUCUUGACAUCCACGGAAUUUGGCAGAGAUGCCUUAGUGCCUUCGGGAACCGUGAGACAGGUGCUGCAUGGCUGUCGUCAGCUCGUGUUGUGAAAUGUUGGGUUAAGUCCCGCAACGAGCGCAACCCUUAUCCUUUGUUGCCAGCGAUUCGGUCGGGAACUCAAAGGAGACUGCCGGUGAUAAACCGGAGGAAGGUGGGGAUGACGUCAAGUCAUCAUGGCCCUUACGAGUAGGGCUACACACGUGCUACAAUGGCGCAUACAAAGAGAAGCGACCUCGCGAGAGCAAGCGGACCUCAUAAAGUGCGUCGUAGUCCGGAUCGGAGUCUGCAACUCGACUCCGUGAAGUCGGAAUCGCUAGUAAUCGUGGAUCAGAAUGCCACGGUGAAUACGUUCCCGGGCCUUGUACACACCGCCCGUCACACCAUGGGAGUGGGUUGCAAAAGAAGUAGGUAGCUUAACCUUCGGGAGGG